rnacentral:rRNA from 1 species
AUGCACGCUGGCGGCGUGCUUAACACAUGCAAGUCGAACGGAAAGGCCCAAGCUUGCUUGGGUACUCGAGUGGCGAACGGGUGAGUAACACGUGGGUGAUCUGCCCUGCACUUCGGGAUAAGCCUGGGAAACUGGGUCUAAUACCGGAUAGGACGAUGGUUUGGAUGCCAUUGUGGAAAGUUUUUUCGGUGUGGGAUGAGCUCGCGGCCUAUCAGCUUGUUGGUGGGGUAAUGGCCUACCAAGGCGUCGACGGGUAGCCGGCCUGAGAGGGUGUACGGCCACAUUGGGACUGAGAUACGGCCCAGACUCCUACGGGAGGCAGCAGUGGGGAAUAUUGCACAAUGGGCGCAAGCCUGAUGCAGCGACGCCGCGUGGGGGAUGACGGCCUUCGGGUUGUAAACUCCUUUCGCUAGGGACGAAGCGUUUUUGUGACGGUACCUGGAGAAGAAGCACCGGCUAACUACGUG